rnacentral:misc_RNA from 1 species
UUGCGCCUCACCUCGCUCAGGCGCACACCUACGCUUGCGCCUUGCGCCCAGGCUCUAGGACUCCCUAGCGCCUUAGUGUGCCAUGAGCCUUUAAUAACCAUGUUAAAGAGACAACUCAUCCCCUAAAUUAAGGAGCAAUCUUCUCCUUAAAUUAAGGAAAAUCUCAUUAAUUCUAACAAUAGCUUAAUUGUAAUCUGAAAAUAUACAUGGUUUUUUCAAUGUUAAUUUUCAUGUCCAUGAUAAUGAAUAUUGCAAUAGCUUGUAGAAAGUCACCAAAUGGAAAAGAACCGAAAAGUGUAUACUUUGCUAUGCUGCUGCCGCCUAUGCAUUCACAAGCAUUUAAAACGUGACUGAGUUUUACUAUGCAUCAGAAGAAAAGAGUCCAACAACCGAGGAAAGAAGGAAAAGGACCACCAAAUUAGAAAAACAAACCAAUCCAGUAAACCACAACCAGAAGGUCACAGAUGAUAGGCCCAAAAAUUAUAGCAAGACAUUAAUGAAAUCCACAAUAAAUGUCUGCAAAAGAUGUCAAUCUGAAAAAAGAGAAUUUUGGCUCAAUGUGAACUUUACCAGCAUCUACUCAUAAAUUAUACAACACCAAUUCAAACACCUUAAAAUGCAGUGAAUAUCAAUAAGACAUCGGUGCAACACUAUAUGUACCAUGCAGCUGUAACACAUUUCUGCAUUAGUUUUUACUAGAACAAAACAAACUAGCUUUCUGUUUCUUUAUUCUUGCAGUCUAGCUUGGAGAUCUUACAGGCUAUAAAUGUAGCUGCAAUAAAAUAUAUCCCAACAUUUUUGAACCUUAUAUAGAUCACAGCCUUUAGAAUCACUAUAACAGUGCCCAGAAUUCAUUAAAAUUAUACCUCUCAUUAUGUCAAUGAAACUUGAUUCUCAUGCACAAGCAAACAAGCACCACACAGAGCCACUGCACUCACACAAGCUAGUAAUACUAGUUCCAAAAUAAAAAGUGCCCAUAUCAUCAAGAAACCAGUCAAAUCAGCAACAGAAUAAAAGACUUCCAUGGUAAAUUCCACUCACCAGAUAAAUCUAUGGAUACAUCAU